rnacentral:rRNA from 1 species
CUAUGCGCCUUGCCAGCCCGCUCAGGUGUGCCAGCAGCCGCGGUAAUACGGAGGAUGCGAGCGUUAUCGGAUUUAUGGUUAAAGGGUGCGUAGGUGGUUAAUUAAGUCAGCGGUGAAAGUUUGUGGCUCAACCAUAAAAUUGCCGUUGAAACUGGUUGACUUGAGUAUAUUUGAGGUAGGCGGAAUGCGUGGUGUAGCGGUGAAAUGCAUAGAUAUCACGCAGAACUCCGAUUGCGAAGGCAGCUUACUAAACUAUAACUGACACUGAAGCACGAAAGCGUGGGGAUCAAACAGG